rnacentral:misc_RNA from 1 species
GAUGAAGAACGUAGCGAAAUGCGAUAAGUAAUGUGAAUUGCAGAAUUCAGUGAAUCAUCGAAUCUUUGAACGCACCUUGCACCCUUUGGCAUUCUGAAGGGUAUGCUCGUUUGAGUGUCAUUGUACUCUCAUACUCCCGAUCUUUGCAUUGGGAGCAGUGGACUUGGGUUUGCUGCUUCACCGUCGCUUACCUCAAAUAGGUUAGUGCAACUCUUGGUUGGACAUAGUACGGCGUGAUAAGUGUUCUUCGCCGGUGCCUCGCAAAGAGGGUGGCCGAUCGGGAUGUUGUGCUCCAAACCGUCUUCGGACAAUCUCUGACGACUUGACCUCAAAUCGAGUAAGACUACCCGCUGAACUUAAGCAUAUCAAUAAGCGGAGGA